UGGGGAAUAUUGGGCAAUGGGCGAAAGCCUGACCCAGCAACGCCGCGUGAAGGAAGAAGGUCUUCGGAUUGUAAACUUCUUUUAUGAGGGACGAAGGACGUGACGGUACCUCAUGAAUAAGCCACGGCUAACUACGUGCCAGCAGCCGCGGUAAUACGUAGGUGGCAAGCGUUAUCCGGAUUUACUGGGUGUAAAGGGCGCGUAGGCGGGGAUGCAAGUCAGAUGUGAAAUCUAUGGGCUUAACUCAUAAACUGCAUUUGAAACUGUAUCUCUUGAGUGCUGGAGAGGUAGACGGAAUUCCUUGUGUAGCGGUGAAAUGCGUAGAUAUAAGGAAGAACACCAGUGGCGAAGGCGGUCUACUGGACAGUAACUGACGCUGAGGCGCGAAAGCGUGGGGAGCAAACAGGAUUAGAUACCC
rnacentral:rRNA from 1 species